rnacentral:rRNA from 1 species
CCUACGGGUGGCAGCAGUGGGGAAUAUUGGACAAUGGGGGGAACCCUGAUCCAGCGACGCCGCGUGAGUGAAGAAGUAUUUCGGUAUGUAAAGCUCUAUCAGCAGGGAAGAAAGAAAUGACGGUACCUGACUAAGAAGCCCCGGCUAACUACGUGCCAGAAGCCGCGGUAAUACGUAGGGGGCAAGCGUUAUCCGGAUUUACUGGGUGUAAAGGGAGCGUAGACGGCGAUGCAAGUCUGAAGUGAAAGGCGGGGGCCCAACCCCUGGACUGCAUUGGAAACUGGAUGGCUGGAGUGCAGGGGAGGUAAGUGGAAUUCCUAGUGUAGCGGUGAAAUGCGUAGAUAUUAGGAGGAACACCAGUGGCGAAGGCGGCUUACUGGACUGUAACUGACGUUGAGGCUCGAAAGCGUGGGGAGCAAACAGGAUUAGAUACCCCGGUAGUC